rnacentral:tRNA from 1 species
AUAGAGUUCAGUGGUAGAGUGCUUGGUUACCAUCAUGAGACCCUGGGUUCAAUUCCCAGUAU